rnacentral:pre_miRNA from 1 species
GUGGGUACAAGAAAUCUACUUUAUUCAGCACACUAACCUAAUUUCUGAGACAUGUUACAUACCUGAAACAUGUCUUAGAAAUUAGAGUUUUUUCUUGGUUUGUGUGCUGAACAAAGUAAAUUCCUUGUACCCA